ensembl:scaRNA small Cajal body-specific RNA 14
GUGGAAGUCUUUGGCGAUGCCAGCACUGAGCAGUGUGCUGCAUCUGAUGUGACUCCACACAGAGUGAAUCUGGUUCCUGCCGACAGGGACUGUAAAGGCAUUGGUUUCCCUGUGCGAUGGUUCCAUACAUU